rnacentral:misc_RNA from 1 species
UAUAUCUAAAUACCGAUCAGGAAUUUAUUUCAGACAAAUUUUGAACCAACUACAGUAUAGCUAUUUGACUGAUUUUUAAUAUUCUUUAUUGUCUGUUGUAUACAUUUAUCAUGUAAAUGAUGGAAGACAUUCAAAUCUCUUUCGAAGUUAACACCUGGUAGAGUAUAUGAGAAGUUUAUACCUAAUGUUGAAUAAAUAUGUUAAAUACUACAUGUCUAGAUAUUUUAUUUACAUAGUUUUAGCAUAGUGAGAAAAGAAAUUACAGAUACAGUAACAGAAUGCUUUUUUACAUAUAUCAUUAGGGAUACUACUAGACUUGAAUGAGUAUAUAUGUCAGCAAUCAGUGAGUGCAUACAUUAAAACAAUGAAGUCAAUAGCAAACACCAAUUUAGGGUCUUAAGAUCUAGUCCAGAGUAAGCAAUCAAGCAUCCAGUAAACGUGCCAACAACAUGAGUGCCACUUGAAAUAGGAUUAGAAGAUUAAGAACUCCCCAUGUUGCUAAGAUAACUCAGAUAACCUUAGUCAUACAACUUAUUUUAUAUUUAAGAGAUCUCAGCGCAUCAUUGAGGUACAGUUUCAAGUGGUCAUAACUUUUUCUGCCCCAGAUUGAUUUUGGUUGGGUUUUUUUCUCAGCAUCACAGGAACCUAUAAAUCAUUUUAAGACACAAAUUUGCUUGUUAUACUAAAUGUCUGGGCCAACUAAAUUUCAUGUCGAUUUCUACUGGACUAUUUCUCUGUUAGAAGUCUUAAAACAUCUAAGUAUCCUGGUGUGUAACAACAUUUAUUUUCAUGUGUCUUGUAGGCAACAGAAAAUAUGUUACAAGUAAGCAAAAGACGGAGAAGACUUUUGUACAAUAGGAAAUGGAUAGCUGCAAAACGUUUAAAUAGGCAGCAUUUAUCAGAGAAGGAUGAACCUGAUAAAAGUACAGACGAAAGUUCAGGAGAGAGUGGAGAUGAACAUAGUUUAGUUCAAGAUGAAACUGAUUCUGCCAUUGCUUACAAUGGAACCAUGAAUUCAUACGAGGACACAUAUAUAUCAAAUGGAAGAAUUGUUGAAUCCAUGUGUGAUGAAGAUGAGCCUGAAACUUCCAGUCUUAUAAAUAUUUCAUCAUCCAGUGAGAGUGAUGAUAAUUCUGGAAGUCUUGUGGACUCUCUGAGAGUGUGGGCAAACACGUUUGAAGUUAAAGCUAAUGCUGUUGAUAAUUUGUUGAAGAUCUUAAAGGAAAGUGGCCAUCCAGACAUUCCCGCCUGUGCUAGAACUUUACUUAAAACACCAAGGAGUAUUGAGGUUUUGAGAGUCUCCAACAUGGACUAUUUUCACUUUGGACUUAAUGAAAUGCUGUGCAUUACACUCAGAAGGUUGCCUGAGGCAUGUUUUCAAAAUUUAGAUACUUUAAUGCUCAUAUUAAAUGUUGAUGGCUUUCCACUAUUCAAGAGCACUAAUUACUCUGUAUGGCCAAUAUUGGGUAUGAUUUGUAAUAUAAAACCAGCCAUACCUUUUCCUAUAGCUGUGACAGUUGGAAAAAGCAAACCAUCCAAUCUUGACUUCCUUGAAGAAACAAUCACAGAAUUGGAUAGUCUGCUUGCAGGUGGUCUGGAGUUCAAUGGUAAACAUUAUAAAGUAGAAUUAAAAUGUGUCACAAGUGAUGCACCGGCCAGGUCAUUUAUAAAAUGCACAAAGCAAUACUCAGGCUACUAUGGAUGUGACAAGUGCAAUCAAAGAGGCCUGUACAUUGGCAGAAUUACCUAUCCAUGCACAGAGAAUUUAAUUCUAAGGUCUAACCAAUCUUUCCGAAAUGUCGACCAAGAGGAGCACCAUAAGGGUAGAUCACCAUUCCUUAACCUUCCAAUGGAUAUGGUCUAUGACUUCCCUAUUGACUACAUGCAUCAAGUGUGUCUGGGGGUUAUGAAGAAGCUGCUCAUAACAUGGAUGCGUGGUCCACUUGGUAAUAAUAAAUUAUCAGCAGGACAAAUUGCUCAGAUAAGUGAGAAGUUGAUUCAUCUGCGACAAUUUAUUCCAUGUGAAUUUGCCAGAAAACCAAGGAACCUGGAAGAGGUAGAUAGGUGGAAGGCCACUGAAUUUAGACAGUUUCUGUUAUAUACUGGGCAGAUUGCUCUCAAAAACAUCCUUCAAGACCACCUCUAUCAUCACUUUAUGUGCCUGUGUGUUGCAAUGAACAUUUUAGUCAAUGAAAGGCUUGCUUUGAAAUAUGCUGACUAUGCACAUAAUCUUCUUCAAUACUUUGUUACUCAGUGCAGAGAAUUCUAUGGAAGAGAAUUUUUAGUGUACAAUGUACAUACUCUUCUUCAUUUGAAAAAAGAGGUGGAGAAAUUUGGUUCUUUAGAUGCAUGUGCUGCCUGGAAUUUUGAAAACUUUAUGCACCAGUUAAAGAGAAAAGUAAGAUGUGGGAAAAAUCCAGCUGCACAACUUGUGAAAAGAAUUUAUGAGUCUUGUGAUGUGAAGAAAGUACAUAAUCAAGAAACAGAUAUAAGCUGCAAAAGACCAAACAAUGUGUACCGGACUGAAAGGGGGAAGUAUUGUGAGGUGAUUCAACCAGCAAAUGCUCCUGAGAAAUCCUACCUCUGCCGAGUUUACCAUGGACAGGAAAAUGCCUUUACAGUACCAUGCAAUUCUGAGGUGAUUGGACAUGUGCAGUUUCGCACCAUUGAUUAUGAAAUUACAAUGCUGAAGGCUGAUACACUUGUGACAAGGUGUAUGAAAAUUGAUGUCUGUCAAGAUAACAAAUCAGCAUUCCUGUCACUUCAUCAUAGCUUCUGAAUGGAAUUUGUACAACAAAUUCGACCAUGGUGUUGCCUGACAUAGCUGCAUAAGAUUAAUUUAUCAUGUUUUCAGUCGUCCAUUUUGAGAAAGAGGACUGUGUUGAAUGUGUACCAACAAGUUGGAUAGACGG